GGGGCUUAGUUUCCAGCUGGGCUUAAACCAUGACAGCACUUUACAUUUGUCUAUUAGACUUGAUUGAGGGACACUUCAAAGCAGAAGACUAACCUGGGCACUACUACUUCAGGGUAGUUUCCCUGAAGAAAGUCUUUUAUUCCUUCAAUACAGUGGAAGAGAAAGAGGAGGAAAAUUGACACUUGUAGGUUCAUGUUGGUCUUAACUAUCCUUAAAGCUUCAAAAGAUUUGCCUCUAAGACAAGUCUAAGUAAGCUGUUGACUCCCUGACUUCAUCUAUGUGACCAAAAAGAUUUGAGGGAGCCAUGCACAUGAGAGAAAUGUUUACCUCCUUUACUAUACAUCAGAAGAGAAGAUGUGAUGAUGAUUCCUUAAGAACUGAAGCAUGUAAACAUCAAACAGGAUAGACAGUCAAGUUAGUUAGACAGUCAACUUAGAUUAAAAAGCCAAUUGCUGUUUCAUUGACAUUGGAACUGUAUCAGACCAAAAGCAGUUAUAAAAUGGUUCCUAAUCUAUGUUAUAAAAGUGGGCAAUAAAAUAGGUCAUAUAGUCUUCAUUCG